CCCUUAGAUGUUCUGGGCCGCACGCGCGCUACACUGAUGCAUUCAACGAGCCUAUCCUUGACCGACAGGUCCGGGUAAUCUUUGAAUCUGCAUCGUGACGGGGAUAGAUUAUUGCAAUUAUUAAUCUUCAACGAGGAAUGCCUAGUAGGCGCAAGUCAUCAGCUUGCGUCGAUUACGUCCCUGCCCUUUGUACACACCGCCCGUCGCUCCUACCGAUUGGGUGUGCUGGUGAAAUGUUCGGUUCGGCCGUUUGUCGCGGUUUCCGCGUCAUGUGGCUGAGAAGUUCAUUAAACCCGCCCACCUAGAGGAAGGAGAAGUCGUAACA
rnacentral:rRNA from 1 species